UUGAUUCUUAUUGCUUUCUUCCAAAAUCGUCAAGCUCUAAACAGGAUUGCCUGAACUGAGCUGAAGCAGAAGUAAAAAUAUUUGUGAAUAUGUGUAAACUAGGUGACGGCCCCUCUGCUGGGAAGAACUACUGUCUUUAAGUAAAUGCAUCCUUUUCGCUGGCCCGAACGUUGCGAGGUGUUGCCUGGAGUCGCCGGGUGUGAGCCAGUGUGGCUCCAGAGCAGAUCAACACCUGUCUGUCAUUCCAGAGCCUUACCUUCUUGGGAAGCACUCAGAGCAGGAUAGAAAGCACUCUGCCUGUUGUGGCUGUCUCUGCCAGUGGUCAGGCCCACUAGCCCACUGUGUUGGAGCCUUUCUUGGAAGGGCCCCCAAGGCCUCUGCCCUCCAAGUGAAUUUCCCUUAUAACAUCUCUAUGUCUAUAUCCCCAACAGUCCAUCUGUAUUUAGUGAAUAUCUGUCCAAUUGCUUAUAUGUAAGGGCAAUAUAGUAACAGAAAAACUCCUCCCCAGGAAACCUCCGAAAACAAAACCGGCUUUGGUCAGCUGUGCACUCAGCCCUAAGAAGCUCUAAGGAAAGCAAGGCUGGGUGGGGCAUAGCUGACUCAGCCUGGGCACCCAUAUGGAGCACCAGCAACAGGUUCUGGGAAAAGGCGAGAUAAGUCUUACUGCUUUCAAGAAACUUACAAUAAGGUUGGAAGGACAGAGUUAACACACACAGAACCAUACCAAUAAUAUACAUGAAGAUGAAAAUUUUUGGUAACUUUAAAUUCCAUUUUUAUUUUGAAAAGAAGAUGUCUACAAACAAAAUUAAUGGAAAAAGUCAAAGGAAUGAGGGGAUAAAAUAAAUCCUAAAAGAAGAAAUGGGGACAAAGAAAAAUACCAACACAUAGAAACAUGUGAAAGUACUCUAGCCAGGCUGGGAGAGCCAGCAUCCCUGGAAGCAAGUGUUGUUAAACAUUGGAACCGGUUGCUAAGGGAGGUAAGGGAAUCUCCCUUUCCCAGAAGUCUUUAAAAAUAGGAUCACAUCUGUUGGGACGGGAUAAUGGUGGUGCUGCCUGACUAGACAGCUUCUUAAGCAACCCUAUCGUCUGGUAAUUCUACCAUUUCUAUUUCUGAUUGUGAAAAGUAACAAAUAAACUUCAGUUCACCUAGCA